rnacentral:rRNA from 1 species
GACGGAGGAUGCAAGCGUUAUCCGGAAUGAUUGGGCGUAAAGCGUCCGCAGGUGGCAGUUCAAGUCUGCUGUCAAAGACCGGGGCUUAACUUCGGAAAGGCAGUGGAAACUGAACAGCUAGAGUAUGGUAGGGGCAGAGGGAAUUCCUGGUGUAGCGGUGAAAUGCGUAGAGAUCAGGAAGAACAUCGGUGGCGAAGGCGCUCUGCUGGACCAUUACUGACACUGAAAAGCGAAAGCCAGGGGAGCAAAGCGGG